CCAUUCUUCUUCUUCCUGCAAUUCUUCUUCUUCCUGAAAACCAAGCCCUAAUUUAUUUUCCCCAUUUUGCAUAGUUAUAGUGUUAUAGGAAGAAACAUAGAGAGAAAAAGAAAGAGAAAGAGUUAUGGCAAAUUUAAAGACAAUACUUGUUGUGCUUUCAGUAAUGGCGACCUUGGCAUGGAUGCCCACUUUGUUGAUUGGGCAUGCUGCUAGUGAAAUGGAGGCUAGUAUUUGGCAGCGCUUAUUAAAUUAAGGGUUUGUGAGUUUCAAUUGAUUUGGGAAUUUGGGGAUAGGCAAAAACCCUUCUUUCAUUUUGUUCAAACAUGUUAUUCUUCAUUUUUUUCUGAUUGUGAUGCUCUUGCACCCAUGACUGAACUUUUUUUCCAGUUCUUUCAUCAUUGUUUGGAGAUUUAUUGUUAUGCAAUAAGUUUGGGUGUUAUAGCAGAAAGGAGAAAUAUAUGGAGGUUAUGUUGAGAGAAAUUUGUCUUUCUGUUUUACUUCUGUUAAUGCAUUUAGGUAUUUUAUCAGGAAGCUGUGAAAUCAUGGGUGAGUUUAGUAUCCAAAUUAGCCGCAACCUGGUGAAUAGCCUUGCUGACAAUGAAGAAGAUAAAUCGAAGAAGAAGACCAAAAAAACUAGUAUCCUUCUCUCUGUUUCUCUCUAUGCGAAGUGUGAGGGAGAUAUGGGUGAGUUCGACAGAACACUUGGGCUUGGCAGAAAUCUGGUCAUCAACGGAACCAUUAUGGUUUGAUUUUUUUUACUGGAUGUAUUACAGGUUUCUUUGCUCAUCGUUAAGGAUUUUUUAGGAAUGUUUGUAUUAUUUUUUCUGGGUUUUUUUUUUUAUUAUUAUUCAAGUUUUUCUGGGUU